rnacentral:tRNA from 1 species
GGCGGUGUAGCUCAGACGGUAGAGCGAUGGGCUCAUAACCCAUAGGUCGGUGGUUCGAGUCCACCUGCCGCAACCA